rnacentral:rRNA from 1 species
UACGGAGGGGGUUAGCGUUGUUCGGAAUGACUGGGCGUAAAGCGCGCGUAGGCGGGCUGGAAAGUUGGGGGUGAAAUCCCGGGGCUCAACCCCGGAAUGGCCUUCAAGACUCCCAGCCUAGAGUUCGAGAGAGGUGAGUGGAAUUCCGAGUGUAGAGGUGAAAUUCGUAGAUAUUCGGAGGAACACCAGUGGCGAAGGCGGCUCACUGGUCCGGUACUGACGCUGAGGUGCGAAAGCGUGGGGAGCAAACAGG